CCUGUUACUUUGCUUCUGUAUUCUCUGAACUGAGUCGCAGAAAGCCAACUCCAAGGAAGUUGAAAGGGUUAUAAAAUGCAAGUCUUAGGUAUUUUAUAUACACUUCAGUUUCUUGAGAAUUUGCAAAUACUUCCCAGUACUAUCAGUGUUCUUUGUGGGAUAGCAUAUGAGAAAAGUGAAAGUCAUUCUGAUUUUUA